CAAUAACCAAUGCCGUAUUUUUUUUUUUUACUGGCCUCAGUUUUAGAAUUAAGAACUUCUGAAUUAUUGACAAACAAGAAGAAGUUGUCAUACUUCAAUUUAACGAGUGUUAUCAACCAUCUGUGUAAGAAAGGGGCUAUAUUACACUCAUCAGUUCAUGUCACAAUGGGUCUACAUAAGAGAGCACAGAAAACACAGAAAGCAAAGGACCUAAGUGGACUGAUUAGAAGAUCCAAAUGUCGCCAGGAAUGACCCACAGAGUGAAUAAUUUGUUUCCCUAGGAACAUAUGGAAUCCACUGACUUCAGGAAAUAUUUUCAGAGUGCACACAUAUUUUUUCAAGACAUUAACAUCCCAGGGGAGGAGGAGGGAUAGAAACAUGACAGGGAGUAAUUUAAAGUGGCAGGCGCAGCAGCGUUCUUUUCCUGCAUUGGAAACCUGAUAUUUGAUACAAAUGUAGAUGAUUUUCUUAUGAUUGCUAUAAAGUUGAUACUGUUCUUUCCAAAAUUCUUGAAGAUUUAUUUUUUCCUCCUCCUUUGUGGAA
rnacentral:lncRNA from 1 species